CUCAUUCUAUUUCAGGCUUGUGAUGUCCUGGGCUUAUACUAUGGUUUUGAACGUACAUUCUUCAAUCCAGCUAGCGUGUUUUCAAGAUCUCAUGCUCCGCGUAAAGCUGUGAAAAACAACACCAUCGAAGCCACCCCAGAUGAUAGAAGUGGUGCACUGCAACAGCACUAUCUGCCCUCACUAUAAUUCCAGCAAGUUCUGUUCGGUUGUUCUCAGGGAGGAAUGUUUGUCUUCAAAGGGACUCAGUUAUUGUUCCAGUUGCAUGAAGGUUCACUGCAUAGCAAAUACCAGUCUUUCACUGGUUAGUCUCCAGCUUUUGUUAAUCUGCUACCAUGGAAUAAUAGUGGCAAAAAUACAUUGGUCUUUAGUUGUAAAUCAGGAAGCACUGGCUAAUGCCUGUCGAAUGUAGUUAUCAGAACUCGUCUGUAUUUUACCAUGUAUAUCUGCUUC